AUCGGCUGGGGUACUCCCUCUCUCUCCGCCACCGAGCAGCGCGACAGAGAUCUCCAUCGACGGAAGCAUUUGCAGUGAUGCGAGCGCUUCCGGAGUGAGCUCAAUCGAUUCGCAUCGUGCAGACGGCCGCGGAUUGAGGGGAUAUCGUUCGAGCAGCUCCGCGACCUCGAUUCGGAGUCGUCCGACUUUUGCGUGUUUGGCUCGGAUGGGACGUCCUCGCUCGGCUUCUCGCCCGGCCGAUGAAGAUCCGAAUCAAAGAUCCAAGAAGAAAAAGAUUGUCUCUGGUCCAGAAAAUUUAGACUCUGCAUCUGCAGGCUAUAAAAGUAUCAAAAUCUUACGGUCCUACAAUAUAACGAGCUAGAUGGGGGUUAACCUAUUAGUGGUAAGUUGAAUAGCUUGUUAUUUCUCUCACGCUUAAAGGGUUAAAUCUUGUUAAUCAUACUUCUUCUUAGGUAGGGCAAGACAGAUUUCCUGUCUCUGAUUUUGCUGAAAAGUUGGCUGUGCAAUGUAGCUAUUGGUCAGGGAAAUGAAGAGAGGGGCUUCCUACCACUGCAACUACUGCAACAAGUAUAUAUGCGUAUCAAGCGUGCGACUUGUCCAGAUUUUGACCUUUGCAUAGAAUGUUUUUCUGUUGGAGCUGAAAUUACCUCCAAAAUUGGUUAGAAUUACUGUAUAUGCAAAUUAUCAAAAGAUUUAGAUUAAGUUGACUAAAUGAAAGAUUUAAAAUUGAA